AACGAACGCUGGCGGCAGGCCUAACACAUGCAAGUCGAACGCUCCGCAAGGGGAGUGGCGCACGGGUGAGUAACACGUGGGAACCUACCUUCUGGUACGGAACAACCAAGGGAAACUUUGGCUAAGACCGUAUACGACCUCCGGGUGAAAGAUUGAUCGCCGGAAGAGGGGCCCGCGUCCGAUUAGGUAGUUGGUGAGGUAACGGCUCACCAAGCCUUCGAUCGGUAGCUGGUCUGAGAGGAUGACCAGCCACACUGGGACUGAGACACGGCCCAGACUCCUACGGGAGGCAGCAGUGGGGAAUAUUGGACAAUGGGCGCAAGCCUGAUCCAGCCAUGCCGCGUGAGUGAUGAAGGCCUCGGUUGUUAA
rnacentral:rRNA from 1 species